AACAAUUUGAACCAAACAAGACUUAUAAACAGUGGAUGUAAUGAAAGUUUCUCCCAACGGAUUUUCCACAGAUAAGUCAAAGUCUAAUUUUUCCGGAGUCAAAUUUAAUCAUUGAGCGCAAGUAGGAGAAAUAAAAGAAUGGGUAGAACCGAUAUCAAUAAGGUCGCUAGAGUUUAUGAUAAGCUUACCCGUGAUGAUCUCAUUCGGGUUCCUUGCUUUCUGGGAG
rnacentral:lncRNA from 1 species